CAUUACUGCCAAGAUCAACAAGAUGUAUGUGUAUAAAUAAUAAUAAUAAAGCCUUCAUGAUCUUCAUCUUCAAUUACGUCUUGAUUACCUGCAUGCAAAAAUUGCAAGAAAAUCGUGGAUAUCGGGCAAGAGAAGCAGAUAAUUUUCCCUUUAUCCAUCGCAUUCGAGCACAGCUGAAAGAUACAUAAAAUGAUGAGUGAAGAAUUAUCUCAUUAUUUGCGCUUAUGGUCCGUCUUGUUCCCCGGAAUCUCCUGAUGCUAUUGGCUGGUCAAUCCACAAGAAAUAAAUUAUAAUUCCUUAAAAUUUGAGAGAGCGUGAGCAUGAGAAGUGGCUUAAAUUUACAUCACUAAAAAAUUUUAUCUAUGUACCUAUCACAUCACUAUGUAUCCAGCACAAAUUUACAUAGCAUUGACUGUUAUUUUGGAAAUUCAUUUAAAGAUUCUCCAGCUGGACGCAUUUUCUUCAUAUUGUUGUUGAGCAGUCGAACCUUUGCUGUUGACGGCAGCGUAGUCUUCUAGGAGGAGAGGACGUCUUGACCUGGGCGUCUUUCCAAAAUCUCUUCUCAAAGACUCACUGUAAAUACCAAAGGUUGACAGAAUCAAACCAUAGCCAAUGAAGAAAGCAGUUUAUUGAACUUGGUCUGCACUAGCGAGUACAUAGCGAAAGCGGUCCUCGGAGAGAUUGUGAUUGGUAAAAAGCCUACCUUUGUCAUCACCCAUUGAAGAGAGCUGAAAAAUUUCAACCCUACCAUCAUGCUCAAUCAGGGAAUGCAUUGCGACUACCUGACCUGAAUUAAUUUAUUGUAAAUUUGGAUUUGCUAAUUUCUUGUAUUUAAUUUCUUUUAUAUUAUUUACUUUUUUCCACUUUGUAGUUAUUCCGUUAACUGCUUUUGUCAUAUACAGCAGAGUAAGAUCUUUCAAUUUAUGGACCUUUUCACAGUUGGAUGAAACGUUGGACAAAAAGUCAUCUUGAUCCUAUGUGACUUCUUUUCGACCAGGCAUAAGGAGACAUACUUGAGGUCUUGCCUACAUACUCCAGAGCCUAAUGUAGCGUUAUGAAGGAAAUUUUAUGGUUGAUAUUCCUUUCAAUGGGUAAUAGAUGAAACUCUUGCCUUCAUCCAUGAUGGGAGGCAAUAAGUGACUCCAAGGUCCAACUGCUCACUUAAACACACCCACCCUUGGAUUGGUGCAGCAGAUCCACAAGGAAGUGUCUAAAUGCAUUAACAAAGGCAUCAAGAUGUUUGUGUCAUCCUUGAUAACUGUAAUUUAUUUAUCAAAAAUAAAUGUGUACGAAAA